AGAUUGAACGCUGGCGGCAUGCCUUACACAUGCAAGUCGAACGGCAGCAUGACGUGUAGCAAUACACGUUGAUGGCGAGUGGCGAACGGGUGAGUAAUAUAUCGGAACGUGUCCUGUAGCGGGGGAUAACCUAUCGAAAGAUGGACUAAUACCGCAUACGCUCUACGGAGGAAAGCGGGGGUCGCAAGACCUCGCACUAUAGGAGCGGCCGAUAUCGGAUUAGCUAGUUGGCGGGGUAAAAGCCCACCAAGGCGACGAUCCGUAGCUGGUCUGAGAGGAUGAUCAGCCACACUGGAACUGAGACACGGUCCAGACUCCUACGGGAGGCAGCAGUGGGGAAUUUUGGACAAUGGGCGCAAGCCUGAUCCAGCCAUGCCGCGUGAGUGAAGAAGGCCUUCGGUUGUAAAGCUCUUUCGGCAGGAACGAAAUGGUUCGUGUUAAUACCACGGACUGAUGACGGUACCUGAAGUAAGAAGCACCGGCUAACUACGUACG
rnacentral:rRNA from 1 species